rnacentral:rRNA from 1 species
GAGUUUGAUCCUGGCUCAGGAUGAACGCUGGCGGCGUGCUUAACACAUGCAAGUCGAACGGGAAACCUUUUAUUGAAGCUUCGGCAGAUUUAGAUUGUUUCUAGUGGCGGACGGGUGAGUAACGCGUGGGUAACCUGCCUUAUACAGGGGGAUAACAGUCAGAAAUGACUGCUAAUACCGCAUAAGCGCACAGAGCUGCAUGGCUCAGUGUGAAAAACUCCGGUGGUAUAAGAUGGACCCGCGUUGGAUUAGCUAGUUGGCAGGGUAACGGCCUACCAAGGCGACGAUCCAUAGCCGGCCUGAGAGGGUGAACGGCCACAUUGGGACUGAGACACGUCCCAGACUCCUACGGGAGGCAGCAGUGGGGAAUAUUGGGCAAUGAGCGAAAGCCUGACCCAGCAACGCCGCGUGAGGGAAGAAGUAUCUCGGUAUGUAAAGCUCUAUCAGCAGGGAAGAUAAUGACGGUACCUGACUAAGAAGCCCCGGCUAACUACGUGCCAGCCGCCGCGGUAAUAC